GUACCCUUUAUCAAUCAGGUUUGGGGAUUGAGAGCUGAGAUUGGGUAACUGUGUUGCAGCUGUACUUUCGCUAAAUGCUCAGAGACUUUGUACAGGGCCAGGCCUGCGUCUACACUAAAACCUCCUUCGGUGUAGGUGAUUUGGGUGGUGUGACACUGCUGUUUGGCAUGUACUGGAGGUUGGCACUGAAAUAGUGACUUAAAGGUUACUACUUAUUUGCGGUGUAUGCUGUGGGGUUUCUUCUGUUUUCUUCUGUCUCUUACAGGUGGUAGGAGGUCCACAAGGGCAGGCCCGACCCUCUUGCAGUCUUGAGGAGAGCUAAUUCCAAUUUCUGUGAAUGUUGUUAUCGACACGUUUUUAACAUUUGAUGGUUUUAUUGGAACAAAAAAAUUGUUAUCUUUUUACAAA